GACGAACCGUGCGAACGUUAUUCGGAAUCACUGGGCUUAAAGCGCGUGUAGGCGGGUCGGCACGUCGGUCGCUGAAAUCCCCCGGCUCAACCGGGGAAGGGGCGCCGAUACGGCCGGCCUCGAGGGACGUAGGGGGGGCUGGAACUUCCGGUGGAGCGGUGAAAUGCGUUGAGAUCGGAAGGAACGCCCGUGGCGAAAGCGAGCCCCUGGACGUCUACUGACGCUGAGACGCGAAAGCCAGGGGAGCGAACGGG
rnacentral:rRNA from 1 species